rnacentral:rRNA from 1 species
UACGGAGGGUGCAAGCGUUAUCCGGAUUCACUGGGUUUAAAGGGUGCGUAGGUGGGCAGGUAAGUCAGUGGUGAAAUCUCCGGGCUUAACCCGGAACUGCCGUUGAUACUAUUUGUCUUGAAUAUAGUGGAGGUGAGCGGAAUAUGUCAUGUAGCGGUGAAAUGCUUAGAUAUGACAUAGAACACCAAUUGCGAAGGCAGCUUGCUACACUAUUAUUGACACUGAGGCACGAAAGCGUGGGGGAUCAAACAGG